rnacentral:piRNA from 1 species
UGAUACAGUGUUGUCUUCAAUUCUGCUUUC